CGUUAAGUUGCAGGGUAUAGACCCGAAACCCGGUGAUCUAGCCAUGGGCAGGUUGAAGGUUGGGUAACACUAACUGGAGGACCGAACCGACUAAUGUUGAAAAAUUAGCGGAUGACCUGUGGCUGGGGGUGAAAGGCCAAUCAAACCGGGAGAUAGCUGGUUCUCCCCGAAAGCUAUUUAGGUAGCGCCUCGUGAAUUCAUCUCCGGGGGUAGAGCACUGUUUCGGCUAGGGGGCCAUCCCGGCUUACCAACCCGAUGCAAACUGCGAAUACCGGAGAAUGUUAUCACGGGAGACACACGGCGGGUGCUAACGUCCGUCGUGAAGAGGGAAACAACCCAGACCGCCAGCUAAGGUCCCAAAGUCAUGGUUAAGUGGGAAACGAUGUGGGAAGGCCCAGACAGCCAGGAUGUUGGCUUAGAAGCAGCCAUCAUUUAAAGAAAGCGUAAUAGCUCACUGGUCGAGUCGGCCUGCGCGGAAGAUGUAACGGGGCUAAACCAUGCACCGAAGCUGCGGCAGCGAACGUAUCACCCAAGACAACUUUACGGAGUUGACGAUUGACGGAGCGAAGCGACGUCAAAGCGUUCAUUAAAGUCGAGUUGGCUUAGGGAUACGUUCGUUGGGUAGGGGAGCGUUCUGUAAGCCUGUGAAGGUGUGUCGUGAGGCAUGCUGGAGGUAUCAGAAGUGCGAAUGCUGACAUAAGUAACGAUAAAGCGGGUGAAAAGCCCGCUCGCCGGAAGACCAAGGGUUCCUGUCCAACGUUAAUCGGGGCAGGGUGAGUCGACCCCUAAGGCGAGGCCGAAAGGCGUAGUCGAUGGGAAACGGGUUAAUAUUCCCGUACUUGGUGUUACUGCGAAGGGGGGACGGAGAAGGCUAUGUUGGCCGGGCGACGGUUGUCCCGGUUUAAGCGUGUAGGUGUGUGUUCCAGGUAAAUCCGGUUCACUUUAACACUGAGGCGUGACGACGAGGCACUACGGUGCUGAAGCAACAAAUGCCCUGCUUCCAGGAAAAGCCUCUAAGCAUCAGGUAACACGAAAUCGUACCCCAAACCGACACAGGUGGUCAGGUAGAGAAUACCAAGGCGCUUGAGAGAACUCGGGUGAAGGAACUAGGCAAAAUGGUGCCGUAACUUCGGGAGAAGGCACGCUGACACGUAGGUGAAGUGAUUUACUCAUGGAGCUGAAGUCAGUCGAAGAUACCAGCUGGCUGCAACUGUUUAUUAAAAACACAGCACUGUGCAAACACGAAAGUGGACGUAUACGGUGUGACGCCUGCCCGGUGCCGGAAGGUUAAUUGAUGGGGUCAGCGCAAGCGAAGCUCCUGAUCGAAGCCCCGGUAAACGGCGGCCGUAACUAUAACGGUCCUAAGGUAGCGAAAUUCCUUGUCGGGUAAGUUCCGACCUGCACGAAUGGCGUAAUGAUGGCCAGGCUGUCUCCACCCGAGACUCAGUGAAAUUGAACUCGCUGUGAAGAUGCAGUGUACCCGCGGCAAGACGGAAAGACCCCGUGAACCUUUACUAUAGCUUGACACUGAACAUUGAGCCUUGAUGUGUAGGAUAGGUGGGAGGCUUUGAAGUGUGGACGCCAGUCUGCAUGGAGCCGACCUUGAAAUACCACCCUUUAAUGUUUGAUGUUCUAACGUGGACCCGUAAUCCGGGUUGCGGACAGUGUCUGGUGGGUAGUUUGACUGGGGCGGUCUCCUCCUAAAGAGUAACGGAGGAGCACGAAGGUUGGCUAAUCCUGGUCGGACAUCAGGAGGUUAGUGCAAUGGCAUAAGCCAGCUUGACUGCGAGCGUGACGGCGCGAGCAGGUGCGAAAGCAGGUCAUAGUGAUCCGGUGGUUCUGAAUGGAAGGGCCAUCGCUCAACGGAUAAAAGGUACUCCGGGGAUAACAGGCUGAUACCGCCCAAGAGUUCAUAUCGACGGCGGUGUUUGGCACCUCGAUGUCGGCUCAUCACAUCCUGGGGCUGAAGUAGGUCCCAAGGGUAUGGCUGUUCGCCAUUUAAAGUGGUACGCGAGCUGGGUUUAGAACGUCGUGAGACAGUUCGGUCCCUAUCUGCCGUGGGCGCUGGAGAACUGAGGGGGGCUGCUCCUAGUACGAGAGGACCGGAGUGGACGCAUCACUGGUGUUCGGGUUGUCAUGCCAAUGGCACUGCCCGGUAGCUAAAUGCGGAAGAGAUAAGUGCUGAAAGCAUCUAAGCACGAAACUUGCCCCGA
rnacentral:rRNA from 1 species